rnacentral:lncRNA from 1 species
CUUGUUCGUAAUGACGUCUGUUCAGAGAGCCAAUCCCAGUCUCGCGACUCCUGCUUGCUGGGCGCGGCCCGGGCCUCCAGGCUCCGCGGCGCAGCCGCUAUCAGGCGGAGUGCAGUUUUUACCGAGCAGCCAGCUACUGAAAAUUACCAAGGAGAGGUAGGAGAUAAGGAGCUGAAAUCUACCAGGGUGUCUGUCUUAAUCCUAAGGAAUCAACUGCUAUACCUUAAUGAGUUCAAUGUAAUUCUUCGGUCUGUAAGUCAUUCUUGCCACUGUGGUUCUGGGGCCAUUGUUCUGCAAGGAUGAAUAAACAAUGUUUUAAAAAUCAUUCAUCCAAGAAAGGUGGCAAGAUACUGGAAUAGAGGUAUUUGAAAAAUAUUCAUAGGAAUUUUAGAGUAUUGUAGAUGGUCUGAAUACCUGUGAAGACAUAAUCUAAUGUAUCUAAAAACCACGUAAUGCUUCAUCUCAAUGUAUUUUAAGAAUUAAUUUUGUUACAAGCUAGAAUUUUUUGUUUUGGUUUUAAUAAUAACAUCAAAAGGUUUUUUAACAUAAAUUAAAAAGGGCAUACAUGGAAAAGUAAAGAAAUUUUUCUUGAGAUUAGCCAAAAAGCAGUGAGAGAUUACGUAUUUCCUUA